rnacentral:SRP_RNA from 2 species
GCUGGGUGUGGUGGCGCACACCUGUAAUCCCAGCCACUUGGGAGACUGAGGCAGGAGAAUUGCUUGAACCCAGGAGGUGGAGGUUGCAGUGAGCUGAGAUCGCCUCACUGCACUCCAGCCUGGGCAACAGAGCGAGACUCCGUCUCAA